rnacentral:rRNA from 1 species
AUUGAACGCUGGCGGCAGGCCUAACACAUGCAAGUCGAGCGGAGCGGCGGACGGGUGAGUAAUGCCUAGGAAUCUGCCUGGUAGUGGGGGAUAACGUCCGGAAACGGGCGCUCAUACCGCAUACUAUCAGAUGAGCCUAGUUCGGGUUAGCUAGUUGGUGGGGUAAAGGCCUAUCAAGGCGAAGCUCCGUAACUGGUCUGAGAGGAUGAUCAGUCACACUGGAAAUUAGACACGUUCCAGACUCCUACGGGAGGAAGCAGUGGGGAAUAUUGGACAAUGGGCGAAAGCCUGAACCAGCCAUGCCGCGUGUGUGAAGAAGGUCUUCGGAUUGUAAAGCACUUUAAGUUGGGAGGCGUUACCAACAGAAUAAGCACCGGCUAACUUCGUGCCAGCAGCCGCGGUAAUUC